GUGCUCGCUUCGGCAGCACAUAUACUAAAAUUGGAACGAUACGGAGAAUAUUAGCAAGGCCCCUUCGCAGUUAACCACUUUCAAGAAUUAAAAGCAAUUAGU